rnacentral:rRNA from 1 species
UACGAAGGGGGCGAGCGUUGCUCGGAAUUACUGGGCGUAAAGGGAGCGUAGGCGGACAGUUUAGUCAGAGGUGAAAGCCCAGGGCUCAACCUUGGAAUUGCCUUUGAUACUGGCUGUCUUGAGUACGGGAGAGGUGUGUGGAACUCCGAGUGUAGAGGUGAAAUUCGUAGAUAUUCGGAAGAACACCAGUGGCGAAGGCGACACACUGGCCCGUUACUGACGCUGAGGCUCGAAAGCGUGGGGAGCAAACAGG